AGAAGCAAUGGCUGAAGACUUGGGAGCAAGCCUUGCGGAAUCAGGAGUAACAGAUCUCGGGUAGAGUUUUCUAACUACUGGGGGAGGAGUUGAGAGGUUUCUUGCGUUCUGGUUCUCAAAUGUUGCUGCGAGUGCAUUGAACGCUGGAGAUCUUCCCCUCACGCGAACCCUGUCUGGACUUAACGACAUGGUUCUUGACCGCUGCUGUGACUUUUCAGGAACGCCAGCACGGCCACCAUAUGAAGCUGGUGUUCUUCGUUUUGGUUUCUACUCAUCAAAGCAACAACAAAAGAGAUAAACAAACAAACAAACAAAUUUUAGAAAGCACACUCUAUCAAGCAUGGAGAAGAGUGUUUACAUCUGCAACUGGAGUUCCACCAUUUUUGACAAUUUUGAGUUUUCUUUGGAAUGAGUUUCCAUGCAUCUGUAAGCAAACAAAGAGAGUGUUCAAUCAUUUGUCAAGGUUUCCUUCUAUGUAUUAAGUGAAGGUAUUUGUUACUUACAGCUGAUUUUGAGGAAUCCCAAGAAGUGAAAAACCGGGUGAAGAAACUUGGCUCACCACCUUCCAUGAUCACAUAUAUAGGGGCUUCAGGGGAUAACUUUUCCAGGAGAGAAUCUUUCUCGAUGAAUUUCUAAGGAAACAAAAGGUAUAGAUAGAUGAGCAACAAGCCUAAGGUUUCAAGAUCUUUUGAGACUAAUUCUCUCAAGAGUUCUGUUUGCAAUGUGUCUAAUAAGAUCUAACCUCUCCAAUAGUUAACGCUAGCAACUUGUUCUUAGGGACUACUUCUUGGCCAACCCAUACAAAGAUCUCUGAGUGACAGUCUACUAUAAAUAUAUCUUCAGUCAUCAAGUCAUCCUGUGUGAAGUUAUAUAUCUCUGUCACCUGCCAAAACAUAACAAAGACUUGGGAUAGAGCCACAUGCCAAAACUUUUUCCAAUUAUGAGUGCAUAAAUCUUUAGUGAUAAGAGAAUAUUUUCAAAGUGGACGCACCUUCAGAACUUCUGGAUCGAGAAGCAAUGGCUGAAGACUUGGGAGCAAGCCUUGCGGAAUCAGGAGUAACAGAUCUCGGGUAGAGUUUUCUAACUACUGGGGGAGGAGUUGAGAGGUUUCUUGCGUUCUGGUUCUCAAAUGUUGCUGCGAGUGCAUUGAACGCUGGAGAUCUUCCCCUCACGCGAACCCUGUCUGGACUUAACGACAUGGUUCUUGACCGCUGCUGUGACUUUUCAGGAACGCCAGCACGGCCACCAUAUGAAGCUGGUGUUCUUCGUUUUGGUUU
rnacentral:lncRNA from 1 species